CUGUCCUCCAGGAGAGUACCUGAUUCUAUCUAAACUACAAAGGGCAAAAUAACAGAGUAAAUUCCCAAGUAAUGGAGGCAAAUAUAAAAAGGAAUAUUAUUUAUUACCAUCUUUAUUAACACUCACAUGUAACCUUUGUUUUUUACACAAAAGUCUACUUUAGAAGGAUGCCUCCUUGAUUUAUCAUGCCCAACAGGGCCUUAUGUUCCUGGAUCAUUUUCCCUUUCUCCACCCCAGCCCACCCCCACAUCCAAAUUAUUCUUACAUGUUCACAGAUACCACGAAAAUUUUGUAAACAAGAUUUGGAUUACUGGAACUUGAUUUCAUCAACAUUCCACUUCAAGAUGAAGGCAGGUGCAGGAGAGGGUAAGAAAUGGGGGAACUGGGAAGGGAGAAGGGGCAGGGGUCAGGGAGAAGGGGCAACUAGUUAGAACUUUCAAGUCUUGCCUUUUCUGAGGUGUGUGAGCUCUGUGUGUGUGUGUGUGUGUGUGUGUGUGUGUGUGUGUGUGUUCCUUGAAAUUCACCGACUCAAAAACAUUGACAGCAAGUGCCUGUGUGGUUGUUUAUAUUAUAUAUCUAUAAUAGAACAUGUGGGUUUCUCAGUUUGGGUCUGGGUUGUGUUUGUUGAAACACUCCACAGUGCUCUUUGUGGGUGGAGUCUACCGGGCACCAGAUCUCCUGGGAACGCCUCUCAGAGCCGGGGCUUCCGAAGCAGGGUCUUGCUGAGAUCUUUGACCUCCUCGGGGCUGUUCACCCGCUCAUAGCCCAGCACAGCCAUGGGCUGGUAGCAAAACUCCUCCACCUGUUUGAUCUGCUGGAAGGUGAGUGCGGUCCGCCAGGCGUUGGCGGCCUGUGUGGCAUUGCGUGCAGACACCACGAAAGGCUUAGAGGAGGAGCCCGAGCCACUGGUCAUGUUCAGGGCGAACUGCUCCAUUUCAGGGCUCACUAGCAGCCCCACAAAGUCAUAUACCUUCCGCAAUGUCUUAACGGGGUCUCCCACCAGAUCCUCGUACCGCACCACCAGGUAGUGGCCCUGCAGCCAGUCAGGGGGCUGCAGGGCUGUCUGCAGCGUCUUGGCCAUGCUGUUGCAUAUGACCUCCAUAGCGCCGAGCGCAUGGUAGUCUGCUGGGCCACCCAUGCCCUCCUUCUUGGCACUCAGCUUAUGCCCAGCGGCCUCCAGGAAGGGCAUACGAUGGGCCCGUGGGUCCCGGCUGCGUACCACCUGUAGGCUCUCUCGGAUGAGGCCAUGGCGCGAGCGGAUACGUGAGCUGGCAACUGCACGGGGAUCACGCACCAGGUGGAUGACCUUGAGGUCCAGGGCCGGGUCUCGAAGCAGCGGCGCCAACACUGCCACGUCAAAGACGCGCACACCCUUGAUAACCAGCGUGCGGUACUUGCGGCACUCCUCUUCGAAGCGUGCCAGGCGCUGAGGCGGGCACUUCUUGCACACCCUGUCGUCCACCAGCCCCACGACCUCCUUGCGGUAGGCGGGGCAGAGGGGCGAGGAGCACACCACCUUGUUGGUGGCGGCACCGAAAGAUGCCCAGCGUGGUGAGGUUGCGCCCCCCGCUGCCAGCGGGGCUGUACAGCUGGAAAACGGAGAGAUCGCAUCGGUAGAGAGCGCUCAGCAUGUCCCGCGCUGCUCCCUGCAGGGAGACAGCAUCCCCCGGGUACAGUUUUUGCCACACGUGCCACACUGGCUCGUAGAGAAAGAACACCUCCGGGUUCUGGUUGAAGAGCUCGCCGAAGAAGGACGAGCCCGAGCGCCACGUGGUGAACACAUAGACCAGUUGCCGCUUGUCCCCGCCGCCCCGGGUGCCAUUUCCCUGUGGGGCCGCGGCCCCUACCACCCCCGCCGCAGCUGCAGGCGCUGACCCUACGGCGGCUGCAGCAGGAGAGCGGUACGGGGUGCGGGGGUCUAAACGCGCGGGAGCGCGCGGGAGCGCGGCAGGAGGCAGCCCUGGGCGUCCCCAGCCGCCCCCAGAUGCCCCCGCCGCGGCACCCAGCGGCCCGUCGGGGUUGCACUGCUGCAGUGGCUCCUUGUGCCACUUGUAGUCCAGGAGGUUGAGCAUGGUGAGCACCAGCAGCAGUGCAUAGCCUGCGCACAGCACUAGCGCCUUCCUGCGGAACACCUUCAUUCCGAGCGGGGACGCGGGCCAGCGGCGUCCCGGGCGCCGGGGCCAGGGCGGGAGCAGGGCACGCGGUGAGGCGGCAGGCACAGCCGGGGCCGGCCACGCGGCGGAGGCGGUCCUGCAGCCCGAGAGGGGGAGACGCAGUGGGCCGGCUGCGGGAGCCGGCACUGGGGCCGCGGCUCCGAGGUGGGCGCGGCGGCAGGGGCGGCUGGUGUCCGACGCCCAGGGCUGGCUCUCCCAUGGCAGCGGCUCCGCCAGAGACCUGUGAGAGGAAGCGGAGUGAGUGGGUGCGCCCCGGUCUUCCUCCCAGCUACCUCCUCCCUAAGUAAUGCCCACCCUAGAGUCUCCCGGCUCCUUACUCACCUGGAGCCGCGGGUGCGCUCAAGCGCCUCGGGAUCACCGACCAGCGCACUGUCCGGCUGUCACUCGUCCCUUGAUUGCUGCUCUCUUGCGGGGGAUCGAGGAGUCUUCGACGGGGCCGAGAGAUUCCGCAGCCCAGGCCCUGGGCAGACUUUCCUGGCAGCGAGCGCCCGAAGCUGGGGAAGGGAAACUUUCACUGGGCCCUGAGCCCUGCAGCGCGAUCCGCCGAGCCCUCGCGUCCCGGCUUCAGCGACGUCUCCCUGCUCUCUCGGGACCGCAGUUCCUUUCUCGCUCCGGGAGGAGAAGCGGGCUACAGGCGAAGGCGGGGGCGGGGGCCUUUAUAGAGGACCCAGCUCCCAACAAAACGGAUCUUCCUCUGUCGCUCUUCGCCUCGGCACAGCGAAUGUUUCCAUCUCCCCGGUGGCGGCGGCGGCGGCUGCUCCUCCCAUCACCAGGAGAUGCCCCCGCGGGCAGCGCAGACGAGCCCGCUGCGCCUUCGCCUCGGACCGGCCCGGAAGGACCCCGCACACGCAGUCGAGACGAACGAGCCCAGUCCGCAGCGCUCCCUGCCGCCCCGCCCGGCACCAGCCGCUUCUGGCCCACAGGGUCUCCAGGCAGAGGAAGCCCCGGCCGCCGCCGCGCGAAAGCGGCGCCCGCAAGGAUGCUGCUCCCCGACUCCCCUACGCCGAGCGCCCGCAGCGCGCUCCGCCCGGCCUCUGCGCGCUCCUGCCAGCCGGCGCCGGGUUGGUGCGCUCCCCUGUCUCGUCGCGCGGCUCCGCCCCUCCGCCGCUCUGCCCUCCUCCGCCCCGGGUCCCACGCCCGCCCUCUUCGUGGCGCCCGAUCCCGCCGCCGCCUCUUUGGGAGCCGGGGCCGCGACCCUUUUCACCUCGGCGCCGCCUGGGCCGCCGUCCUCGAGUUGGAAGACUUAGGUCUCCGUGCGCACAGCACCCGGGCGCCGACGCGGGAUUCGCAGCGCUCGGGCGCCUCAGGCUGUAAAUGACUGAGAUUCUGCGUGACUGCGGAGUUGAUCCCACGUUCUGGAAAACGUGUUGAAGAUAAAGUUUGGACCGAAAUCCCCCGGCAGCGGUACUCUCCGCUCUUCCCUGGGGUCGAGAGCAGCCCCUCCAGGAACCGAAGACGCACUGCUCCCGAGAGCCUCGGAGGAGCGCCCUUCUCAGGCUGCUGACGCCCGGCUCGCCCUGUCAGCUGCUCUGUGGUUUCUGCCUCGAAAAGGAAGUAAUAAAUCUUUCUGGCCCAGAGGUCAAAGAAGACGCUUCAACUUUCCUGGAGUGCACCGCGGGGAGACUUCUGCGCGUUUACCGGACCUGUAUACCGGGCUGCUUCGUUUUUAUUACGCCGCCGGCAGAGAACUAACCUCCCGCUUCAGAGAGCUGCGUCCGCGGUGACUGAAGUCCUCCGGAAUUGGGGUGAUGGCGGAGGAGGCGACUCUGUUCUAAUUUACAGCAAAACACUUGUCCCGUUUCUUGGCUUUUAGAGAUGAGAUCAAAGACCCUAGUCUCAAAGGAAACACUGUCGUUGAAAAUCGAAAGUCAUUUUUUAGCUAGUUUAAGUACUUUUUGUCAAAGAGAGAAUCCUAAGCCACAUCCUCAACUUCAUCUGUAAAAUGGGGACAACUAUCUGCUAAAGAGAGACCGGAGAGAAGUUAGAGCGCGCAUGGGAAAGGUAAAACCCCAGCGCAGGGCUGCGGGUGAGAAGACAAAUUGCUGUGGGACCAGAAGCUCAGUGGCCGCGGGCACAGUGAGGACCUCGAAGAGGUGACCCUUUGGAGUCGUUACUAACAAAUUUGAAGUUGCUGCAAAAUUACUGUUGUUCUACUUGAGGCAGCCUCUCUCCGCCAGGAGACCUACCUAAAUUUAAGAUGUUGCCGUUAGAGCCAUUAUUCUACAUGAAGUUACAGAAUCUUCCAAGUACGAGAACUCUUAGCGAGCUAAGUUGUUUUCCGAACUUGGACUCUCUUCAUCUUCCUCCACCAACAUGGAAGCACAAGGCUCCUGCUUCAGGAAAAGUCGGGCCUAUACAUGUGAAGAAGAAACUCAUGCCAGCUAUGGAAAACAAUCCACCAGAGGAAGAAAAGAGAUCAUAGCAGUUAAAAUACAAAUUUCCAAAGACAGAUGUUGAAGAAAGGUGCUUCAGAAGGAAAAUAAUAUUUGUUAAUAAAUGAUCAACUCAAGAAAGUAAUCACAAGAUUUGAACAAACACUACCGGAAACCAGAUCUGUUUCUUAUAUUUAGGAAACUUCCCCAAAAGAAGAGCAGAGACCACACCUGACCAGAGAAGCCAAAAGGGACUGAGACUCAUAUCCCCAGACUCCUCUGCAAGUAGGGGCCAGCCUAAGGUUACUCUGCAAGUAACCUCAGCCUGGCAGCUCAGCUGUGCAGAGACAGGAACAGAUGAGAUUCAGUCUGUUGGUGGCCGCUGGGGGUCUGGGCUGCUAGUGCCUGGGAUUCUCCAUUCUCUCAGCCUGGCUUGCUUCCCAUUCCUGGGGUUUCCAGAAGAUGCCCAGUGACUCUUUUUCUCCUCAGUCAGCACAAACCAGUGAUCAGUGUAUGCCAUAUAAUAUUAAACCCUGUUUCAUACAGCAGGGACACUGUGCUUGCAUAAGAUGCCAGGACUUCAAAUGUGUACUUCUGUUUCCCACCUGAAAUAUGGUCUUACUAACACUAGCUCUAUUUCACUGAAUUCUUUCAAAUAAACCACUUGUUUAAAAAAUCUCUUAGAAUUGUUAAGUAAUUGGACAAAACAAAUCUGUGUAUAUGUUUUUGUUUUGUUUCUGUUUUUUUGAGACAGGGCCUCACUAUGUAAUUCAAGCUGGCUUCAAACUCUCUACAUAGCUCAGGCUGGCCUCAUAGCAAUGCUCCUGCCGCAGCCUCCUAACUGCCAGAAUUAAGGUGUGUGCCAUCACACCCACUGUAUGUGUUUUUUGAACCAGCUUGUUUUACUAAAAGAAUGCAAGUAUCAGAGCCAGAGGAGAAAAAAGACUGUGCAGAAAUGCACUUCCACUCCACAUUCUAGUUCUUUCGGGUGGUAAAUGGGAAUCCAGCCCACAUAAAAUCCACCUGCUUGGAUUUUAAGAUUUAUGGAGCCACCUGGGAGAAGUGAAGAAUGUUUUCACAGACCAACAUCCCAGGGAAAGCUCUGAAAAGCAUUCCACUUAAUUCUUCCACCUGUGUAUCACAACUUCUAGGUGUUUCCUCCCCUGUAUCUUUUUUGUGCUACUGAGACAAACACAGGAUCCAGCUCUUUUAAGAAUUCAUCUUACAAGUUGUUUUCUUCUCAUCAGCUGCAACUUCCAGUCAUAGAAUCUGAGGCAGAGUCUGGGGACAUGGUUAAUCAUGUCACAGAGAAUGAUCCCAGAUGGAGAAAAAGCUGCAAACACAAGAAACCUGAAUGUCAGAGGCCUGUGCUCAGGAGAAAAGGUCACUCAAAGGAGGACAAUAAAAAGAAAUGAGGUAGUGUAACAAGAGUAUUCCUUCAUGAAGACUUUCUUUUUACUCUUACAAUGUCAAGGUACUCGUAAGGGCUAGAGACCAUCACAUACUUACAUUUGCAAAUCCAUCCACCAGUGUCACGCCCCUCCUCACUGCAAAUAUCUUGAAGAUGAGCACGAAGUUGCCUCUGUGUGGGGACACAGGCAAGAAAAGGAGUCCUAGGGACUCCAGGGCAUGAGACCAGAACAAGCUGCUCAGACUACGUUCACGUUUUCCUGCUUGCUUGUGUCAAUUUUAUUCCACCAAGCCUUUGUCAUCUGCUGCCACCCACCUGCCCUUGUCAUGUCACCAUCAAGCAUGGAUGUGGCUGUGGCCAGCUCACCUAAGGACAACCCUGAGGUUCCUAUCAGGGAAGAUGUUAUCAAAAAAUAUUAAAAUAAGGC
rnacentral:lncRNA from 1 species